CUUACCUACCCUUGACAUGUCUGGAAUGCCGAAGAGAUUUGGCAGUGCUCGCAAGAGAACCGGAACACAGGUGCUGCAUGGCUGUCGUCAGCUCGUGUCGUGAGAUGUUGGGUUAAGUCCCGCAACGAGCGCAACCCUUGUCAUUAGUUGCUACGAAAGGGCACUCUAAUGAGACUGCCGGUGACAAACCGGAGGAAGGUGGGGAUGACGUCAAGUCCUCAUGGCCCUUAUGGGUAGGGCUUCACACGUCAUACAAUGGUCGGGACAGAGGGUCGCCAACCCGCGAGGGGGAGCCAAUCCCAGAAACCCGAUCGUAGUCCGGAUCGCAGUCUGCAACUCGACUGCGUGAAGUCGGAAUCGCUAGUAAUCGCGGAUCG
rnacentral:rRNA from 1 species